rnacentral:rRNA from 1 species
AGCAGCCGCGGUAAUUCCAGCUCCAAUAGCGUAUAUUAAAGUUGCUGCAGUUAAAAAGCUCGUAGUUGAAUUUCGGGAUCAUCAUGUCGGUCGUGCCUCGGUACGUACUGGCAUUGUUGGUUUCUACCUUCUGACGAACCAUGAUGUCAUUUAUUUGGUGUUAUGGGAAAUCAGGACUGUUACUUUGAAAAAUUAGAGUGUUUAAAGCAGGCAUUAGCUUGAAUACAUUAGCAUGGAAUAAUGAAAUAGGACGUUCGAACCUAUUUUGUUGGUUUUUAGGAUCAACGUAAUGAUUAAUAGGGAUAGUUGGGGGCAUUAGUAUUCAAUUGUCAGAGGUGAAAUUCUUGGAUUUAUUGAAGACUAACUACUGCGAAAGCAUUUGCCAAGGAUGUUUUCAUUAAUCAAGAACGAAAGUUAGGGGAUCGAAGACGAUCAGAUACCGUCGUAGUCUUAACCAUAGACUAUGCCGACUAGGGAUCGGAUGAUGUUAAUUUUUAAUGACUCAUUCC